rnacentral:tRNA from 1 species
GGGCCUGUAGUGCUAGCGGCAACACACCUGGUUUGCACCCAGGAGUCAGCGGUUCGAUUCCGCUCGGGUCCA